rnacentral:misc_RNA from 1 species
CAAUGAUCAAGUUACUGCAUUCAACUUCCAUUUUUGUUACAAACUUAGCUUGCACUUUUGUAGCGGUUGCCAUAAUUGUGAUGAAAUUGUACGCUGGAAUUGAAAAAGAGACCGCAGGAGAUGUUUCACAAAUGGAAUAAGUGAGAGUAAGUCCUCAAAGGUCUCUUCAAGUGUUGUCUCACCAGAAGCAUUGAAAAUUGUGCUCGACUUCAUGUACAGUGGGGAAAUCAGUUUAGAAGGUACCAGGGAUUUUGGAAUUUUGAUGAGGAGCAAGGGAGUUGAGGAGUUGCGUGGGGGGAAGAUGGUGGAUGAGUU